GAAGCGAAGCAGUGAUGUGAAGCAAAUCGCACCAAAGCCAGUCCCAGUUCGGAUAAGAGGCUGAAACUCGCCUCUUUGAAGUCGGAAUCGCUAGUAAUCGCAGAUCAGCAUGUUGCGGUGAAUACGUUCCCGGGUCUUGUACACACCGCCCGUCAAACCAUGAGAGUCACCAACACCCGAAGUCCGCCUUGGCGGCCUAAGGUGGGGGAGAUGAUUGGGGUUAAGUCGUAACAAGGUAAC
rnacentral:rRNA from 1 species